GCGCACUGCUCCUUGGAGCAGAGCAGACGAGGCAGCUGUGCUCCCUCUGACGUUAGCGGCGGGGAAACCGGAGCUAAUACCGGAUAAUAUAUUGAACCGCAUGGUUCAAUAGUGAAAGACGGUUUUGCUGUCACUUAUAGAUGGAUCCGCGCCGCACUUACCAAGGCAACGAUGCGUAGCCGACCUGAGAGGGUGAUCGGCCACACUGGAACUGAGACACGGUCCAGACUCCUACGGGGAGGAAACAAUAGGGAAUCUUCCGCAAUGGGCGAAAGCCUGACGGAGCAACGCCGCGUGAGUGAUGAAGGUCUUCGGAUCGUAAAACUCUGUUAUUAGGGAAGAACAAAUGUGUAAGUAACUAUGCACGUCUUGACGGUACCUAAUCAGAAAGCCACGGCUAACUACGUGCCAGCAGCCGCGGUAAUACGUAGGUGGCAAGCGUUAUCCGGAAUUAUUGGGCGUAAAGCGCGCGUAGGCGGUUUUUUAAGUCUGAUGUGAAAGCCCACGGCUCAACCGUGGAGGGUCAUUGGAAACUGGAAAACUUGAGUGCAGAAGAGGAAAGUGGAAUUCCAUGUGUAGCGGUGAAAUGCGCAGAGAUAUGGAGGAACACCAGUGGCGAAGGCGACUUUCUGGUCUGUAACUGACGCUGAUGUGCGAAAGCGUGGGGAUCAAACAGGAUUAGAUACCCUGGUAGUCCACGCCGUAAACGAUGAGUGCUAAGUGUUAGGGGGUUUCCGCCCCUUAGUGCUGCAGCUAACGCAUUAAGCACUCCGCCUGGGGAGUACGACCGCAAGGUUGAAACUCAAAGGAAUUGACGGGGACCCCCACAAGCGGUGGAGCAUGUGGUUUAAUUCGAAGCAACGCGAAGAACAGG
rnacentral:rRNA from 1 species